GACGAACGCUGGCGGCGUGCUUAACACAUGCAAGUCGAACGGAAAGGCCUGCUUUCCCUUGUGGAUUGCGGGUACUCGAGUGGCGAACGGGUGAGUAACACGUGAGUGAUCUGCCCCCAACUUGGGUAUAAGCCUGGGAAACUGGGUCUAAUUCCCGAUAGGACUGCAGGGUGGUGCCUGUGGUGGAAAACGAUUUUCUAGUGGUUGGGGAUGAGCUCGCGGCCUAUCAGCUUGUUGGUGGGGUAAUGGCCUACCAAGGCGGCGACGGGUAGCCGGCCUGAGAGGGUGGACGGCCACAUUGGGACUGGGAUACGGCCCAGACGCCUACGGGAGGCAGCAGUGGGGAAUAUUGCACAGUGGGCGGAAGCCUGAUGCAGCGACGCCGCGUGGGGGAUGACGGCCUUCGGGUUGUAAACUCCUUUCGACCGCGAGGAAGCCACCUGGUUGGAAGGGUGGUGACGGUAGUGGUAGAAGAAGCACCGGCUAACUACGUG
rnacentral:rRNA from 1 species